UGGGGAAUAUUGCACAAUGGGCGAAAGCCUGAUGCAGCAACGCCGCGUGAGUGAUGAAGGCCUUCGGGUUGUAAAGCUCUGUCUUUUGGGACGAUAAUGACGGUACCAAAGGAGGAAGCCACGGCUAACUACGUGCCAGCAGCCGCGGUAAUACGUAGGUGGCAAGCGUUGUCCGGAUUUACUGGGCGUAAAGGAUGCGUAGGCGGAUUUUUAAGUGAGAUGUGAAAACCCUGAGCUUAACUUGGGGACUGCAUUUCAUACUGGAAAUCUAGAGUGCGGGAGAGGAGAAUGGAAUUCCUAGUGUAGCGGUGAAAUGCGUAGAGAUUAGGAAGAACACCAGUGGCGAAGGCGAUUCUCUGGACCGUAACUGACGCUGAGGCAUGAAAGCGUGGGUAGCAAACAGGAUUAGAUACCCUGGUAGUCCACGCCGUAAACGAUGAGUACUAGGUGUAGGAGGUAUCGACCCCUUCUGUGCCGCAGUUAACACAAUAAGUACUCCGCCUGGGAAGUACGAUCGCAAGAUUAAAAACUCAAAUGAAUUGAC
rnacentral:rRNA from 1 species